CAAAGAUGAGUCCACGUGUGACAACCAUGUCCAAGAAUGUUUCUCAUAUGCAUAUCCAUAACAACUACAUUAGCCAUUAGUUUACAGUAACAAAGUAAUCUUUCAAAAAAUGGUGGCAGCCAUUGCUGUUUCUUCUUCAAACUCUACACUUUACCAUAACCCCAUCUAUUUUAGUGACCCAAGAUCAAAUUUUGUUGGUGGGUUUUUGAAGGGUACUACUCUAUGUUUCCAUCUGAAACCAAAACAAUUACAAACAAGAGUUGUAAACAAUGUGGUUGUGGCUUCUUCAACUAGUACUACAAGUGUCACAACUAGUAAUGGUAGUAGUAGAUUUUACUUCAACUUCACUGGCUUUCCUUUCCCUCUUGGUCCUUUCCUCAAUAGGAGUACUAUUAGGACUGAGGUUGUGAAGGGACAGAUAUGGCUAUUUGAACAAGAGCAGGCAUUAGGCUUCAGCAGUGUUUCAACAAACAUUAGAAUGACAGUUAUCAAACUCAAAUCCGGCGGCUUAUGGGUUCACGCACCCAUCGCUCCAACCGACGAGUGUAUCCAGGUUCCAUUUUUAUUACCAAUUCUAUGAGUAUGCAAACUUUUAGUACCUUUAAUAGGAAAAAUGCUAGUGCAUAUAAUAUAUAUCGAAUGUGCCUCGUUUUCGGAUUCCACUCGUAGAAUUGUUUCAUCUCGCAAACUUUUUUCGUUCCUUAAACCUAUGACUUGAUCGAGAAGGUUUCGUGAAAAUGACAUCCUGAUUUCAUUAUGCUUUCGUAACAUGUGAGUUAUUUGUUUCCUGCAGCUUAUUAAGGAAUUGGAUGCUCCAGUUGAAUAUAUUGUCCUUCCUACUUUUGCUUACGAGCACAAAAUAUUUGUCGGUCCAUUUUCGAGAAAAUUUCCCCUUGCUCGAGUAUGGGUGGCACCAAGGCAAUGGAGUUGGCCAUUGAACUUACCAUUGGAAUUCUUCGGCAUUUUUCGCGCUAAAACGUUGAAAGACGAGGAUUUAUCCACUCCUUGGGCUAGUGAAAUAGAGCAAAAGGUUCUAAGCUCACCAGAAGUUGGAAUCGGGCCGUAUGUAGAGGCAGCUUUCUACCACAAGCCUUCAAGAACACUAUUAGUGACCGAUGCUGUUAUUUUUGUCCCAAGACAACCACCUGAAUGUAUAAGCAAAGAUUCGCUGUUAGCGUCUGCAAAAAAUGGUUUAGCCGUAAAAAUUCUCAGUAAAGGAAAGGAGGUAUCGGAUGAACCAGUAAUCGAUAACAAAAGCAAUAGGCAAAAAGGUAGGCUCUUACGAAAAGCAAAUUAUGUUUCGAUAGAAGUCGAGUCAUAACCCGAUGGUUGUUUUUUCUGCAGGAUGGGAAAGAAUGGUUCUACAAAUCUUGUUUCUCGGUCCAUCGAAUCUCUUAGAACCUAAUGCUACCUUCGAACAAAUGUCACAGAAGUUGAUUGUUUCACCUAUUGUAAAGACAUUGGUCUUCAGCAAAGUUCCUGAAAAGGUAAUCUAGUUCUACCUUAUAUCGGUCGAUUAAUUGACAAACCGAUAUUAUUAGAGAGUAAAUGCUAACUAACUAUUCAUCCUUGUUUUAUUUUCGCUUCGUACUUUGGUCUGACAAAGCGAUCUCACAAUUGUAUUUCAUGGCUAUGAAGCCUUCCAUCCCCCAAAAUCAAACUCGAAAACAGACGAUUAAGAAAACCAAAAUGUCUCACUUUUUAACUCUCGUGUCUUCACUACUUCCGAUUUAUAAAAUACUUCAACCAUAGAAGCGAUAGAACAUAAGUCAUGUUAUGAUCCAUUCCGUUCUACCACAUCUGCUAAAUGCUACAUGUAGCUCAUUGGUAAACUGAAUGUUUUCAUGAUAAUUGAUAAGCAUCGACGAUAAAUAACCGACCUCACACGUUUUGUUUGCUUAUUAUUAUGAUCUAAAGGUUAGAGACUGGGUCGAUAGCAUUUCGCAAGAUUGGAAGUUUAAGAGAAUCAUUCCUGCUCAUUUUGCUGCUCCAAUAAAUGCAAGCCGAUCAGAUUUCCGAGCAGCAUUCGCAUUUCUCGACGAGUUUGUAAGCGAUCGAUAUGCUACUUGGCCGUCACUUUCCCUUCUCUUGUCAUCAUUUAAGGGAAAAGCAGCCAGCUAUUUUCCUCCAGAUGACAUGAGAACCUUAUCAUCUCUUGAUCAGUUUCUAGUUUCAGUUGGAGCUGUGAAGAAAACUGUUUCAGGGAGGAAGCAAUGAAAACAAACAACUUGGUUGACUUGCUUAUACUACUUUGUCAAUACAUAAAAUUUUGUUACAUUAGGAGCUUCAUUCUUAAGGAAGAUGUAAAUGUUACACAUUAAUGUUGUCAUAUAAGGAAUAUAUUUUUGCAUAAAGAUCUUUAAGUGAUAUGUGUUUUAUCAAUAGAUAUGCUUUAUGACAAAACAUUAUGGUGUCGUUCGAUCCAUGUAGCUGACCCCAUCUUGUAGGAAAAACAAAAAAGAAAGGCUAA
rnacentral:lncRNA from 1 species